AGGCCUUACACAUGCAAGUCGAGGGGUAACAGGAGAGAGCUUGCUCUUUCGCUGACGACCGGCGCACGGGUGCGUAACACGUAUGCAACCUACCUCUUACUGGGGAAUAGCCCAGAGAAAUUUGGAUUAACACCCCAUAGUAUUAUUCUUCCGCAUGGUUGAAUGAUUAAAGGUUACGGUAAGAGAUGGGCAUGCGCCCCAUUAGCUAGUUGGUGAGGUAACGGCUCACCAAGGCUACGAUGGGUAGGGGGUCUGAGAGGACUAUCCCCCACACUGGUACUGAGACACGGACCAGACUCCUACGGGAGGCAGCAGUGAGGAAUAUUGCGCAAUGGACGAAAGUCUGACGCAGCCAUGCCGCGUGCAGGAUGACGGCGCUACGCGUUGUAAACUGCUUUUAUAUGCCAAGAAACCUUCGGACGUGUCCGAAGCUGACGGUAGCAUAUGAAUAAGCACCGGCUAA
rnacentral:rRNA from 1 species